UGGGCAACCUGCCCCCGACCCUGGGAUAACCCCCGGGAGACCGGGAGCUAAUACCGGAUACUCUCCUCUGACCACCUGGUCGGAUGAGGAAAGGUCCGCCGGUCGGGGAUGGGCCCGCGGCCUAUCAGCUUGUUGGUGGGUAACGGCCUACCAAGGCAUCGACGGGUAGCUGGCCUGAGAGGACGACCAGCCACACUGGGACUGAGACACGGCCCAGACUCCUACGGGAGGCA
rnacentral:rRNA from 1 species